CCUACGGGGGGCUGCAGUGGGGAAUAUUGCACAAUGGGGGAAACCCUGAUGCAGCGACGCCGCGUGAGUGAAGAAGUAAUUCGUUAUGUAAAGCUCUAUCAGCAGGGAAGAAAAUGACGGUACCUGAGUAAGAAGCCCCGGCUAACUACGUGCCAGCAGCCGCGGUAAUACGUAGGGGGCAAGCGUUAUCCGGAUUUACUGGGUGAAAAGGGAGCGUAGACGGCAGUGCAAGUCUGGAGUGAAAGGCGGGGGCUCAACCCCCGGACUGCUCUGGAAACUGUACGGCUGGAUUGCAGGAGAGGUAAGUGGAAUUCCUAGUGUAGCGGUGAAAUGCGUAGAUAUUAGGAGGAACACCAGUGGCGAAGGCGGCUUACUGGACUGUAACUGACGUUGAGGCUCGAAAGCGUGGGGAGCAAACAGGAUUAGAUACCCCGGUAGUC
rnacentral:rRNA from 1 species